AGGGUUGUGGCUCAGUAGUAGAGCGCUUGCCUAGUGAGUGAGAGGCCCUGGGUUUGAUCCUCAGCACCACAU
rnacentral:tRNA from 1 species